rnacentral:rRNA from 1 species
UGGGGAAUAUUGGACAAUGGGCGCAAGCCUGAUCCAGCCAUGCCGCGUGAGUGAUGAAGGCCCUAGGGUUGUAAAGCUCUUUCGGCGGGGAAGAUAAUGACGAUACCCGCAGAAGAAGCCCCGGCUAACUUCGUGCCAGCAGCCGCGGUAAUACGAAGGGGGCUAGCGUUGUUCGGAAUCACUGGGCGUAAAGGGCGCGUAGGCGGGCUCUUAAGUCGAGGGUGAAAUCCUGUGGCUCAACCACAGAACGUCCUUCGAUACUGGGAGCCUGGAGUUCGAGAGGGGUUGGUGGAAUUGCGAGUGUAGAGGUGAAAUUCGCAGAUAUUCGCAGGAACACCAGUGGCGAAGGCGACCAACUGGCUCGAUACUGACGCUGAGGCGCGAAAGCGUGGGGAGCAAACAGGAUUAGAUACCCCCGUAGUCC